GCAAACUUGGUCAUUUAGAGGAAGUAAAAGUCGUAACAAGGUUUCCGUAGGUGAACCUGCGGAAGGAUCAUUAUUGAAAAUCCUUAGGAUGUUGCUGGCCUUUCGGGGCAUUGUGCACUCCGCCAUUUUUCAUAUCACCUGUGAACUUAUUGUAGGCCAGAUUUUUGUUGAAUAUCUGUGUCUAUGUUAUUUUUACACACACCAAGUUUAUUAGAAUGUCUAAUGUUUUUUUAAGACCUUUACUGGUCAAAAUAUGAAUAACAACUUUCAACAAUGGAUCUCUUGGUUCUCGCAUCGAUGAAGAACGCAGC
rnacentral:misc_RNA from 1 species